ensembl:antisense Gm37696 predicted gene, 37696
AUCUAGAAGAGAUAUCCAUGUAGACAAGUAGACCAUACUACCGAAGCUUGAUGGCUUUUUCUUUCUUUUUUAUUUUUUUAAGAUGUAUUUAUUAUUAUAUGUAAGUACACUGUAACUGUCUUCAGACACCAGAAGAAGGCUUCUUCAACAACAGAAAAAAAAAAAAAGUUGCCAUUUGAAAACAUUCUAUUUGGCAUUUUUUUAGUAGCAGUUUUUAAACUAUAUCCCAAUUAUUUCCCUCAAAUAAGAUAUACACAGGGAAUUAUGAUUUAAUAUGAAGCCACGGCCCAAAAAUUUUAGGAGGGGUGCCAGAGACUGAACCAUUGUUUACUGUGAUAAUUAAGUGGCAUACCAUUGAACUAUGUACUCAGCAAUGUAUGUGUAUGUAUGUGUUGAGAGUAGCUAGGCUAACAGGCCUGGAUUGCUUAACUUAGCUUAAAGCAUACAUAUUUUAAAGUUAAUCACUUCCUUAUAUCAUAGUUUUGUUUGUUUUGAUUUUUUAAUGAGUCAUUAUCUGCCCCAUGGUAUAAGGAUUUAUAGAACUAAGUCUGAUUACCCUAACCACCAUGUAAAACGUUAGAAGGCAUUACCACACCUGGUUUAUCUUAGAGCCUCCAAUGGUUCAUGAUAUUUAUUAUGAUAAGAGACCCUCAAUAAAUAUCCAUCAGUACAUAGGUAAAUUGUUGCUCUUAUGAGCUCUAUCUGUGGUAGAAGGUUUUGAUAAUCCUUGAUAAGCCAUAGCAACUCCUUGGUCCAAAGAAUAUAUAUAUAUAGUUAUAUAUCCUAAUGGCCAAGUCUCUGAGUCCUGAAAAUGCUGGAGAAAUGACAACCAAGAAACCACACUGUCUUGAGUGACUACAUAGAAAUAAUGCUGCCCUCAAGAGAGGCAUUCAAGCUUCAGAGGGCAAAUGCCCUCUGUGAAGAAGACACUGUCUUCUGACAAUGUGAAAAGGAAAACAGCCUAAAGGAAUUCACAUAAGGGCAGCCUAGCUUUAAACAGAUGCCCAUACUUGAUCUCCCCAUUCACAGGACAGUUGCUAGGUCCCUUGCGAGAUGUAGCUCUGGGCCUGCAAGGAAAGCAGGGAUGCUACAAGGUGAUGCUAAAGCUCUCAAGCAGAAAACUGCUCAGUUACACAGCCCAUCUGUACAAAGGAGCUGAUUUAACUGUGUCUGUAGAUCUCCCAGAGCUAACUGCAGGUACACAAAUCAUUCUAAACUCUCCUCAUUUAGAAAAUCCCCAGAGUAAGUUGGUAGUGAUGACGAAAUUUUAAAGUAGAAGACUAAUGAAUUUGCAGAGUUCUCAAAUGGUCCAUCUCAAAGUCAUUGAACUUCUGAUCCUAGGACCACCUCGCUGCUUGAGGGUUUUAGCAAAGAUACUUUGAUAAUAACCAACCGGAAGCUUCUCUGAAAAUAUUUUCUAAUUUAAGCAGUCAUUGAUUCAUAGGGUUGGUGGUACGCUUUGGAUGGUCAACAUAUUUCGCAUUACUUCAUAGACCGAUUUGAGCAGCCAUUGAAAGAACAAGCAUUGGCCAGUCUUGAUGAGCUCUUGAAAUCUUUGUUAUCUUAAACCAUCAGGAAUAGCUUAGAAUUAUGACCAAGGUGAAAAGAGUCCUGCUCUGUCUUAUUUCUGCAGUGACUACGCCUGUCUGGGUUUACUUGUACGUUGAUCUUGUAUUAUUAUUAUUAUUAUUAUUAUUAUUAUUNNAAUUAUUCUUAAAAAUAAUGUGCAUGAAAUAAUUUUAAAUUAAAUAUCCUCUGUACAAAAUGUACACACACAAUAUUAGGAAAAUAAUUUCAAUGAUUAUCUCAUUUGUCUCUUUUUAUCAAUCUGGUAUUGCACAUUAUGCUCAGCAAAUAAAUUAAUAUACCUGUUAAUAUUGGGAAUAAAAUCUAUUCAUCUUAAUAAAGAAGUUGUCCUGGACUGAGAUGUCCUGAGGCUGGAUGAGUAUCAUGAUUCAGUAGAUUUGGACCCAUCCUGUUAUAUGCCCGUUUUGAAUGGCUUGGCAUAUGUUAAUUCUUUCAGUCAGUUUUAGAAAACAAGGUCAAAGUCCCUUCUCUCUCUCUUUUCUUUAAAGAUUUAAAGAUUUAUUUUAUUUAUAUGAAUACACUGUAGCUGUCCAGAAGAUUGUGAGCCUUCAUGUGGCUGUGGGGGAAUUGGGACCUCUGCUCACUCUGGUCAUCCCUGGUCCCUUAGGCCCAAAAAUGUAUUUAUUAUUAUUCAUAAGUACACUGUAGUUGUCUUCAGACACACCAGAAGAGGACAUCAGAUCUCAUUACGGGUGGUUGUGAACCACCAUGUGGUUGCUGGGAUUUGAACUCAGGACCUUCAGAAGAGCAGUCGGUGCUCUUAACCGCUGAGCCAUCUCUCCAGCCCUGAAGUCCCUUCUCUUCACUUGAUCUUAGCCAAAAGGCCGAGAAGCGAUUGAAGUCCCUUCUCUUAAAGGUAAAUUAUCUGACCUUUUGUUUUGGGUCAUCUGCCAGAGUCCCUUAUCUAUGGGGAAGACCCGUGCUCCUCUUGCUAUUGGGUCUCAGAUCUGCCAGAGACUUCAUCUAUGGGAAAGACCUGUGCUCCUCCUGCAGCACAACUUUAUUUGGUGAAGGUACAAAGGAAGCUCGUGGAAGGAAGCAUUUAGAGAGAUUUAGUUGAUCUAGGUUUUCUUGGUUUGAAAGAGCCACCUCAAACCCCCGUCUGUUUAAGAUUCCUCUCCUCAGAAUGUUCUGUUCCAGAGAACCAAAUAUAGAAAUAGGAGAAAUUGCUUAGCUCCAUUACAAAGAAUUUGUCUCUCUUUCUUUUCCCUCACAAACCACUGGAUGAAAGGAGCCCCCAUUUCUCCCUGCAGGGAUGCCUGCACACCACUUCCCGACACAGUUGAAGCCUAUCAGCCCUCUGCAGUGGUGACUCCUCCAACUCCUUCAGCCUGUGGUUCAGAGGGAGACAAUGAGGGCCUGUGCAAAGGAACGGAAGUUGCACUUGUAAAUCAUCACCAGCAGUGGGGUCUGCUUUAUAGAAUCUGCCUAAUGGGGACUCUGUUUUACUGGGAAUUACAUAAUCGAGCAGAAAGUAGUAUAAAAAAAGAUUUGCGAGCUAUAGCUUAGGAAGACCGUACCUCAAAGCAGAAAACAGUUUUGUGUUUAUUGGUUUCAGGUCUGUUAGUAAUGCUUGUAGGAAAAUAUAUUUAAAGCCUGCUAUGUACCAAAAGAUUACUGUUAUUUAUUCAACAUUUGUAAUAAGGUCAUAUGACUGCUAAAUAUAUUUUUAAAGUUCCUUUCUGUUAAGAGAUUUCUAUCCUUAAAAAUCUUAACUGUUUUAUACAAACAAUCUUGUGGGAUUAAAAAAAAGGAGUAACCC